CCCGGGGUUGAAUGUGCGUAUGAAUCGUUGCUUUCCCGUCGUUCUGUUUGUGACAAGACGAUCAUGAGGCGGAGCCCUGGCGGACUGGCUGGUAUCCUGUGGCUGCUGCGUGGCCGCAAUUCGCUGUGCGUGUCGUGUCUUUCUCCAACCCUUUGGUCGAGUCAGUGGCGUCUGGAACAGUGUGAACAUAUGGCAGGUGCUCAUGCAUGGUUCAGGACAUAACAGAUACCACCAUGUUGUCUAAAGGUUUCCCAGGCACCUGCUGGGUUUGGUGAGGAGGAGAAUCCAGCUUGCCGGUCCUCACACCUCCCAGGAGGGAUUUGCUC
rnacentral:lncRNA from 1 species